UUGCUGGGUGGAUUAGUGGCGAACGGGUGAGUAACACGUGAGUAACCUGCCCUUAACUCUGGGAUAAGCCUGGGAAACUAGGUCUAAUACCGGAUAGGAGCGCCUACCGCAUGGUGGGUGUUGGAAAGAUUUAUCGGUUUUGGAUGGACUCGCGGCCUAUCAGCUUGUUGGUGAGGUAAUGGCUCACCAAGGCGACGACGGGUAGCCGGCCUGAGAGGGUGACCGGCCACACUGGGACUGAGACACGGCCCAGACUCCUACGGGAGGCAGCAGUGGGGAAUAUUGCACAAUGGGCGAAAGCCUGAUGCAGCGACGCCGCGUGAGGGAUGACGGCCUUCGGGUUGUAAACCUCUUUCAGUAGGGAAGAAGCGAAAGUGACGGUACCUGCAGAAGAAGCACCGGCUAACUACGUGCCAGCAGCCGCGGUAAUACGUAGGGUGCGAGCGUUAUCCGGAAUUAUUGGGCGUAAAGAGCUCGUAGGCGGUUUGUCGCGUCUGUCGUGAAAGUCCGGGGCUUAACCCCGGAUCUGCGGUGGGUACGGGCACACUAGAGUGCAGUAGGGGAGACUGUAAUUCCUGGUGCAGCGGCGGAAUGCGCAGACAUCAUGAGGAAUCNCCAUGUCUAAUGCCCGUAUUUGUUUUGCA
rnacentral:rRNA from 1 species